UUCCUCGCGUUAUCCCGGCAUUUUACCACGGCUCCUGGGAGCCUGGGGUCCGCUUGACAACUAAUCCUAAGAAUGACGUAGGCACUAGUUUUUACGAAAGCGACUGCCAUCUGACCUUCCAACCCAGAGGGGGAACUAAGCUUUGUUAGGAUCAGUCCGGUUUUCUCACGAUGUUUUCCUUCACCGAAAAGCGACUGGUAAAUAUCAAAUGAUAUUUCGUACAUAAGUUCCGAAAAACUCAUUGCGACACUCAGCGUCAAAUACUUUGUAGCAACUAAAGUAGUCAAAGAGUUCGGUACACCAUAUAUUUAGUAUGGUGUACCGAACUAUUUGGCCACUUUGAAGACACAGAGUAUUUGACGCUCAGUGUACGAAAUGGUACGAAAAUUUAAUUCAUUGACUGUACUAUUUGACAUGUGGUUUUGCAACACAUAUUAGGGAAUUAUUGAUAACUCCACAUUGAUUGGUUUAUAAAUUAUUGAAAGGAAUGGAGGCGAUUGAUAGGCCAAUGUAAUCUAGAUGUAAGAAUGCUUCCUUCAUUCCGAAUACAAAUUCAAAUUAUUUUUGUAACUGAAAUAGCAAAUUUAAAGGUGCACUACAGUUCAUAAAAUUUUGUGAAUCAUUGUUGAAUGAAAUUUUAACAGAUAAUGUUAGAUACUUAUAUAAAUUAAAAUGUUUUAGCUCCAAGUUUUAAUAUAAGUAAAUAUCUACAUAACAAUAUUGAUAUAUUAUGAAA